rnacentral:rRNA from 1 species
ACGGAGGGUGCAAGCGUUGUUCGGAAUUACUGGGCGUAAAGCGCGCGUAGGCGGUUUGGUAAGUCAGAUGUGAAAGACCCGAGCUCAACCUGAGAAGUGCAUUUGAAACUGCAAGACUUGAAUACGGGAGAGGGUAGUGGAAUUCCGGGUGUAGGGGUGAAAUCCGUAGAUAUCAGGAGGAACACCAGUGGCGAAGGCGGCUGCCUGGACCGAUAUUGACGCUGAGGCGCGAAAGCGUGGGUAGCAAACAG